rnacentral:rRNA from 1 species
UACGUAGGGGGCAAGCGUUGUCCGGAUUUAUUGGGCGUAAAGAGCGUGUAGGCGGCUUGGAAGGUCAGCUGUGAAAACUCGAGGCUUAACCUCGAGACGUGGUUGGCGAAACCAUCCUGGCUAGAGUCCGGAAGAGGAGAUGAGUACUCCGGUGUAGCGGUGAAAUGCGCAGAUAUCGGAAGGAACGACCUGCCGUAGGCGGAGCGUCGGAC